rnacentral:tRNA from 1 species
GCAGCGAUGGCCGAGUGGUUAAGGCGAUUGACUAGAAAUCAAUUGGGCUAUGCCCGCACAGGUUCGAAUCCUGUUCGCUGCG